GCCGGACUGGCGGAAUGGCAGACGCAGGGGAUUCAAAAUCCCCCGCCCUCACGGGCAUCCCGGUUCAAGUCCGGGGUUCGGUA
rnacentral:tRNA from 1 species